GCAAAAACAAAACACAGCCUCCCUAGCUGGGGAGAGAGUGCCCCUCCCAGAGCUAGUUAACUCCGAGAGACAGCAAAGGAGCCAGCGGGGAGCACGUCUGGGGUUUGCAGACUGCGCAGUCCAGGGCCACAUCACUUCCAUCUGGCCAGGAGCCCUGGAGGAAAUAUUCCUCUGCCUCCAUCGUCCUGAGACCAAGAGCUAGAGACUAACUGGUCAGCUAAAGAUGGUUACAGCCUGAAGCCACCCCAAAUUACUCAAAGCACCCAACCCCAAACUUCUCACCCUGCCCAGCCUCUACCUUGUUGCUCCCGAGACACAGAAGUAAAGGCUCUGGACAAAAUCUCCCCUCCCUUCCCGUCCUCUGCCUCCUAGUCCCCUCGCUCUUUCCCACAAGGUCCCAUGCGGCGUUCCGUGCCUCCCGUCUCUACGACCGUGAGUCUGAGAAACUUUGCUUUCCUCGCCCUGUCUGUCUGUCUCCUCUUGUGGCCACACCUGACCGACCAUCUCACAAGAGAAUACGAAAUACAUUCAAUGUUCUGUGCUUUCUCCCGUCAUGGACCAAACCGGUAACCCUCAUUAGAACAGUUCCCAUGCUUCAAUUUUAUAAGAACCACUUAAGUGCUGUAUUCAAGUACAGAUUUUGAAUCUCCAUCCAGCCUUUCCACCUCCAGAGAUUUCAGUGAUUCAACAGACAGGGGAGGUGCUGAAGCCUGUAUUUUGAUCUGUGCUUCCAGGAGAUUCGGAUUCGGAAGGAUUCACAGAUUUGAAGAGAAUGGAUAUUUUAAGCUGCUUUAAGCUGUGAAAUC